GGACUACUGGGGUUUCUAAUCCUGUUUGCUCCCCUAGCUUUCGCAGCUCAGCGUCAGUAAUGGACCAGGUGCCUGCUUUCGCCAUAGGUGUUCCUCCCGAUCUCUACGCAUUUCACCGCUACACCGGGAAUUCCAGCACCCUCUCCCACACUCAAGUCCGACAGUAUCUACUGACCUCUCUCGGUUAAGCCGAGAGCUUUCACAGUAGACUUACCGAACCGCCUACCUGCCCUUUACGCCUAGUAAUUCCGAGUAACGCUUGCCACCUUCGUCUUACCGCGGCUGCUGGCAC
rnacentral:rRNA from 1 species